ensembl:lncRNA
ACCCUACAAAUGAGCGUCUUUUCUAAUGUUUAGCGACCAGACCAAGGCCUUGUUUGUGGGAGGAAAAGGUUGAAGAUGCACGUGAAAUGUUAUUAGCAGGUCAAAUCAGAUCCUAUAUUUGACGAUCAAACAAAUUUCCAAACCGGAGCCGUGAAAUAGCGUCUCGUCAGGGUCUCUGCUUGUUUCUGUGUAAAUCAGAGUUUUGUAAACCACUAGCCGUUAACAUCUGCAGUUUGAGCUCUAACUUAUAUUACACAGAACUCUUUUAACCGUCCAUCACCAUGAGUUGGUUUGGUAAGAAAUCUGUAUAUAAUGGAGCCCAUCCACAUUGUGGUUGACAUGUUGAAAUUUAUAUCAGGGAUGUGGGGAAACUUUUUUUUGUUUUGUUUUUAAUCUUUCCCUAAAGAGAAAGCAGAUUGUCUUAUUCCCGUCAAAUCAGCCACUGUGUUCUGUUGCUGUUAUUUAAGAAGUCCGGUGGUUUGGGCCGUUUUCAGACCCUUAUCAAUAACAAUUAGUUGUUUAUAAGGGAAGGAAAGAUGACAACAUGAUGUUGUAGGCCAAACUCUUCGCUCAUUUUUCAUGUUCAAGAGCAAAGAUCAAAAUGAGAAUCAGCAGCAAUCCUUACAAAACUCUCAAAAUGUGUCAAAAUGUGUAUUUUUAUUCACAUGACUAAGCUAAACCGACUACCCAGUAUUCCCUAGUGUUACUUGACUGCUAACGGCACUGAGGGCCAGUCAACAUGUAUUAGACGGAUGAAAUAAACGACACGAGGCUGUCAACAGGUCGGAAUCAUAACGUGUGCAGUGUUUGCUGUAUUUUUUUUACUCAUUGGAGAACAUUUCUUUACAUAUUGAAGUAGCAAAUAACCUUCCAUUUGCCAAGUUUUAUAUUGCUUGUAUACAAACACACUAUGUACAUACAGUAUGUGGUAGUGGUAUAGGAAGUGUCUGGAUAUUUGAGAAAAUACAAAAAACCAUGUCUAGUUAGGUGGAUUUCUUAUAGCAUCUGUCCGCUGAGGACUUACUGAUGGAAAUGUGCUUCCUACACCGCAAAACUUGGAAAUGACAUUGUAAAUAAAGCUUGUAUAAAACAGGCUGCUUGUCUGUUUUGAUAUGUUUUGCAUAAUUUUCUUGCUAUCAGUCACCAGACACGCGUCGUCAGACCUCAAAGUUGGCUGCUGGAGGG